rnacentral:rRNA from 1 species
GACAAACGCUGGCGGCGUGCGUAAAACAUGCAAGUCGUACGGCCCGUUUCGGCGGGCAGUGGCAGACGGCUGAGUAACGCGUGGGAACCUGCCCCGGGGUGGGGGACAACCGUCCGAAAGGAUGGCUAAUACCGCAUCCGGUCGGCCGCAAGGUCGAAGAAAGCCGUAAGGCGCCCUGGGAGGGGCCCGCGUCCGAUUAGCUAGUUGGUGGGGUAAUGGCCUACCAAGGCGACGAUCGGUAGCUGGUCUGAGAGGANGAUCAGCCAGACUGGGACUGGGACACGGCCCAGACUCCUACGGGAGGCAGCAGUUAGGAAUUUGGGCAAUGGCCGCAAGGCUGACCCAGCAACGCCGCGUGGGGGACGAAGGCUCUCGGGUCGUAAACCCC